CCCGCGCGCACCAAUGAAGACCCAACGCAGCCAAAAAUAAAAUUAUAAUAGUUCUCCCUGGGGAAGGGGUCCACAACCCCCGGGCCACGGACCAGUACCUGUUAGGAACUGGGCGGCACAGCGGGAGGUGAGCAGCAGGUGAGCGAGCAAAGCUUCAUCUGUACUUACAUCUUCAUCGCUCGUACUACCACCUGAGCUCUGCCUCCUGUCAGCAUUAUGGAAGGCAGUGGGAAACCAAGUGUCCCGACGAGGGUCCAGAAUGAAGGACUUAGACAAAUUUAUUUCCAGCUUCUCCUUAGUCUGAGCUGCACAAAGCAGUUUCUGAGGCAGGCUGGGAGGCAGCUGCUCA